UGCUGCAGACAACUGGAUGAUUGGAAGACCUGACCCCCCGACACACCUGGGACCACACCUGUAGCAUACACACAGGAAGAGGGCGGUGGGAGAUCUCCAGCUCCAGCAAUUUAUUUGAGUUGUCUUAACUUAGAAAAACUAAGUAAGCUGGAAAUUUUGCUUCUCAGUGCGGAAGGAUGAAAGAUGUGUUUUAAAAAUGCCACGUCACUACCGUCCUCGUCCCUCGCACGGAUAUUUUAGAUCUGGUCAUUUUGCUUAUUAGAAACUUUAUAUAUUGGAAGUUAACUAUUAACAAGCUUGUAAUGAUUAUAUUUAAAUUAGGUCUUUUUUUAAACACAUAUCUCUUUAGGCCUAAACUGACAGUGCCAAUACCACACAUUCAGACACAGUAGUAGAUGGUGUUUUUAAUACUAUGUGUUUGUAUGGGGCCUACAUUGACCUUCUGUGUUGUAGGUUAUAAUGACUGCACAGCCAUUAAGGAUCAAAUCAGCUUCUAAAAAAUGUUGUUUUUUCUCCCUCUGCUUGCUUCUUACUGUCUUUGAGGCCGAUCGGGACCAGCACUCCUGCUGUUGGACAGAAAGACAUCAACUCAGUGACUUGAGAUAUGACUGCACGAUGCUGUUGCUGUGACUCCAGUUAAUUCUACAAGACAUGCUGUGACACCAGGAGAGAUGAGUCCUCCGUCACAGAUGGUGUGGUCAGUGAAGAUGGUCGCCUGCAGGUUCAAGCUCAUUGCAUCUCCAACCCACAUCCACUGCCACUGUACUUAAGGGAAGUUAAAGACUUUCUUCUGCACCUACAUUUGGAUCACCUCGAUCCAUGACAGUCAUUCAGGCAGUAAUGCCUGGACUGGAAACAAGCAUCCUUAAAAUAAUACAACAUUCCAGCUCCUGUGUUGGAAUGAAAAACAAAUGUGUUGUUUAAAUCAGAGACUGCACUUGUGACAGAACAAUAAAUAUUUUGAUUAUAUAAGUAAUGUAAGUACAAAACAAGCUUGUGGUAGGCCUAAACUUAUUUUCAGAAUAAUUACAUCUGAGACUUUGUUUCAUUGUAAGAUUAUAACAGUGAUGGCAAUAUAAUUGUUUGUUGUUCAGCAGAACAGUGUCCAGUAUGUUGGCUGUUAUACUUUGUUGUGUUUGAAAAUAAAA